UUGGGCGGUCGGGAGCGUGAGCGCGGCCCGGGCAGGAGUUGUGUGUGUGUGUGGGGGGGAGCUCCGUCCGGCCGUGGCUGAGGGCGCCGCCGCCGCCAUGAGCUCCAUCGGUACCGGGUACGACCUGUCAGCUUCCACGUUUUCUCCAGAUGGCAGAGUAUUUCAAGUUGAAUAUGCUAUGAAAGCUGUGGAGAAUAGUAGUACAGCAAUUGGGAUAAGAUGCAAAGAUGGUGUUGUCUUUGGAGUAGAAAAACUAGUUUUGUCCAAGCUUUAUGAAGAGGGUUCCAAUAAACGUCUCUUCAAUGUCGAUCGACAUGUUGGAAUGGCAGUAGCAGGACUUCUGGCAGAUGCUCGUUCUUUGGCAGACAUAGCUAGAGAAGAGGCUUCUAACUUUAGAUCCAACUAUGGCUAUGAUAUUCCACUGAAGCAUCUUGCGGACAGAGUGGCUAUGUAUGUGCAUGCAUACACACUAUACAGUGCUGUCAGACCUUUUGGUUGCAGUUUCAUGUUGGGGUCCUAUGAUGAUGAUGAUGGUGCACAACUGUACAUGAUUGAUCCAUCAGGAGUUUCAUACGGUUAUUGGGGGUGUGCCAUUGGUAAAGCCAGGCAGGCUGCAAAAACAGAGAUAGAAAAGCUUCAGAUGAAGGAAAUGACCUGCCGUGAUGUUGUUAAAGAGGUUGCGAAAAUAAUCUACAUAGUUCAUGAUGAAGUAAAGGAUAAAGCUUUUGAGCUGGAACUCAGCUGGGUUGGAGAAAUAACCAAUGGAAAACAUGAAAUUGUUCCCAAAGACAUCAGGGAAGAAGCAGAGAAAUAUGCCAAGGUAAGGUCUGAUUUUGGUGUCAUCUCAGUGCUCCACUUGACAGGCACGUCUAGAGCACAGGGAACUAACUGAAGGUUAGGCUUCUACUGUUGUGAUGACUGGAAUAUGUGUAGUUACAUGUAUCACUUCAGUGUUAGCUGAUGUUAUUCUGAAGGGAGAAGAGCAAAGUUUACGGCAUAAUCCAGUGUUAGUUUUCUUUCAAGAACAGUGUAAUUCAGCAGGCUUGCACAGGUGGCGUGCUUCUUCAGAAGUAACUGUAUUAACUUUUCAACAGUGGGUAUGAGUGAGUAGGAGAGGUAGUAAGUCAUGUUGCCUAGAACAGUUUUUAAAGAUAACCAGCUGGAGAAAGUUAGACUUCCAGCAUUUAACAGCUUUGCUUUUGUUCUAAAAGUAAUGAUGGUGCUCAGUAUUACCUCCUAAAGAUAUGAACUAGCCUGCUGAAUACAAGGCUUUGGACAGAUUGAGAGGAUUGUGAAACUACAGCAAAACUCAUUUUGCUUAUUAUAGGCUGAAUUAUAAAACAACUGUUAAGAUAUUUUUUUAAUUAAACUUUUUUUUAAAAUAGGAAUCUUUGAAAGAGGAAGAUGAAUCAGACGAUGACAAUAUGUAACACAUUGUUACUUCAAGACAAGUUCAACUUUUCUUAACUUAGAACAGGUUUGUUUAUAAUGUAUUAAGCAUGGGAUGCUACUAUGUAUUUGCUGGAAGAAACUGAGUGACCAACUUGCACUAAUAAAUUUUCCAUUUUACUGUCCAUUAGCUUUUAUUUCAAAAGAGUAUAGGCCAGCAUCAUUAAGAAGCAACUGUACUCUGUAUCAAAACAGACAUUAAGAAGGAAAGAUAUUAUCAGGCUGGUGUUGCUGCUGCUUACUACAGCAUUCCAUCUGACCCAGGCCAGAGUUCUGGAUGUCACACAACACAGCUCAUUUCAGUGGUUCUGAUUACAGCUGUAGUGGUGUAACUAAUGGGGUGACAGACUACACAAACACACUGCAGGGGAAAGCAUAUCCCUGAAGGUACACACCUCCUGCUAACAGUAGUCUUGCAAUUAAUUCACAGGUUAAGUGUGCAUUACAUAGUGUUGAUUGGUCAACUAACUCCCUGGCCACUUGGAAAUCAGCUACCUGUAAUAAUAUCCUCCAAACAAUAUACACAAAUAAAAAGUGUAUUUUGAAAAAGGCAACUAAGUAGGAAAAAAUUCAGCAUUUAAUCACUGGCCAAACUGUAGAUUCUCACUAACAGCAGCUACUUAUAGCUAAAAACAUUUAAUUCAAAAGAUUGAGGGCAAUAAUACUUUUAAAAAAGAAUCGAUACUGACCAACUGCAGUCUUGCUAGCUGAGGCUGAAAAGUAAAUGAUUGAAGUAAUCUGGACAAGCAAAAGCCCUAGAAGAAAGGCCAUGUAACCACUGCCUUCACAAGCUUUCUUUUGCUGAGCAACCAUGCUUUGCAGAAGCAGUGCUUGCUGCUUUGUGCUAGCCUGCAUGCUGUUGGUAUAGUCCCAAUGCAAUUGGAUCAUGUUGCUCUACCACCUGUAUCUGUAACAAGCAGUCAUUGUAAUCAACACCUUAUCAGUGCUGACAAGCUGGAGUGACACCUAUGCUGGCAGAUGGACCAUGUCCAAGGAUUCACCAUCAGUAUCAGAACCCUAUUUUUUAUCUCUACAGGUAUGGAAAGAUAUAUUUUAGUAAAAAUCCAAACGAAGCAAGCCACUUACCAGUGUCUGAAAAAGCUUGUGUAUGUGAGGACAUAGCUCUUAACAGCUUUAUUUCCUUCUUGUACUUUUUAACGUGGCUACUUCUGCAGCAUGGAGUCUUAUCUGGGCUGGCGGGAGGCGGGGGGGGAAGCCUUCCCAAGAUACAAACUAGCAACAGGUACCAUAAGGGAGGAAGAUUCUUACUUUAGGUUGGCCAUGACAGAUCACUCAAAACUACUGAAAAAAGAAGAAAACCCUGAAUCUACUAACACAGAUAUUGAGAAAUUAAUCCAGAGUUAGUUCUCUUUGCCGAAGUGAAACAACAGCCUAUUUCAGCUCUCCAACAUCAGCAGCAAUCAACAGCUUAGAUAGGGAUAGCAUGAGACACCUAUUCAGUAUACAUUUACUCCCAGUCUUGUAUCACAAAAGGCUGAAAAAGUAACCACACUGUUGCUCCAAAGUAGCAUCAGAAGUUAAAUAUUUAAGGAGGAAUACCUUCUAUUUCAGAAGCUUAACUUACUCAGAAGAAUGCAGUAAGGUUCUUCAAAUACAACCUCACUUAAAAGUUAAAACUUUAAAGAUAUUUUCUCCUGUUAGUUUUCAUGGCAAUGAAAUAUGUCAUUGCCACUCCCGAAACCACAUGGUUUUUGCAUUCAAGUUGUACCCUGUAUGUUUGAUUUAGAUGGGAGGUUACUCAAGCAGUAGUAUUUAUAAACAAGAUUCAACUCUGUUAAGAAGAAUACAGACUAUUUAGAGAUUCAGAUGCAAGUUUCAAAGUUUUCAACUUACAUUUAUUUCAGGAACACUAAAACUGUUAUUUUCUCUGUAGACUGGUGACUGACUAUAUUUACACAGAAAACCACUCCCCCAAUCCUGUAGAAAAAACCCAUCUCUUCUCACCUUGAAAGAUCAAAACUUCCACAGAUAAAAUGUUUACAUCGCUAAUAAUGUCUACAGCUCAGAAGCCAGGAAAAAAGCUGCAUGCUGUGGAGAUAAUUUGGAAGCCAGUUAAAAAGUACAUAGAGUUUUAAAAAUUAAAUUUUACAAUACUGGAAUGGCCAAUGCACUAACGUAGCCCAUAUGUGUACAUGCAUAGGAUACAUUUCUAGUACUAGUGUCUUGUGCCUGUCACAAAAAAAAGUUAUUAAUAAAGCCUCAAACAGAAGGUUUGAUUACUAACGACAGGUAGGUCUAAUCCUUCACCUUUACUGCUGGCAUUCAGAGACAAACUGUUACUUUGAAAAAUAUGUAAGGGUGCUUUCCUACCCAGAACAGUAAUGAAACUCUCAUUUGCCGUCAAGCAUCUGCUUCAAGUUUUGAAAGACAGAAUGAUCACUUGGUUGUAGAUGAUGACAACCAAAGUCCUUUGCCACACCCAAAUUAAAGCUGCUGUACAAAUCUUCAGCUUCUCCUGUAGUACUGUGGGCUAUUGUUUUGCAACACUGCACAACGUCCCCAAUGUAGCUGUAAUAGCCUCACUAUUGUCACCAAUGUGAACUUGCAGUCCUUAGAAAUAAUACAAGAAAUUAACUGGAUUUGUAAUCAAAUUCCGUAUCUUGCAUCCCUUUGCUAGGCAGCAGAAGAGAAAUUAAACACCUAUAUUCAGAUAAUUUAACAGCACAUGACAAAACAUGCAAAAACUGGCUUCAGACUCCAAUCUUAAGUAAACCCUGGCAACGGGCACCCUUCCUCCAUAGUUGCUAAAUUAGCUAACAUUAAUAUUUGAUACAAAUAUGUUAGCGAUCAUAAUAGAAAAUUACAUACCAGAAAGAAUAAAAAUAGUCUCUCACAAUACAGCUCUUACUCUGUCCAAACACAAGAUUACCAAAUCAGUCUUAAAAAAAA